CUUGGGGUUUCCGCAGUUAGCGAUAACGUUCCUCCCGCCUUGGUUUCUUUUCUCGGCUUCAUUUACCGCUUUUGCAAACAAUUCCUCAUGUUUCCGCUAUCCGGAGACGUGUGUUGCUGUUACCCGUGUUGGAAACCCAGGGGAUAAAAUCACACGCGUUGGGCUUGACACCCAUCUAAUCCCUGCACGCACUUGGGAGGUGGAAGCAGAAGAUUCGGAAGCUCAAGGUCAUCGUCAACUACAAAACAGGCGGGGCAGCUUGUGCUAAAGGAGUUCCUGUCUCAAGAAACCAACCAAAGACACCACAUUGAUCUUUGUGUCUGCACCAUCCACUAAGUAUCUGGGUCAAACAAGACAGGGAGAAAUAGAAACUCAGGAACUUGGAAAGGUUAUGGCCAUUGCACCAACCCAUUACAUCUGGCAACGAGAGCGCUCUGUGCAUCACAGUGGAGCUAUUAGGAACUAUGACAGAGAUGAAGUUCAUCUGCCCUGGGGUCCUAGUGCCACACCAGUAGACUGUUUACUGUGUGGUAAAAAAGGAAGAUAUAUGAGAUUGGGACUGUCUUCAUCGUCAUCUUCAUCCAGUGACACAGUAGAGCUAAUGGAAAAACACUCUCAGGAAUUACACAAUUCAUUAUCAGUGGACAUGAUAGGUGAACCUUCUCAAGCCAAUAGCUAUUCUCAAGGUAUGCUUUAAUGGUAAAAUAAAUUAAACCAAUGCAUGCUAUUUAUGUAGUCACUGAUGCAAACAUUUCA